rnacentral:rRNA from 1 species
UACGAAGGGGGCUAGCGUUGUUCGGAAUUACUGGGCGUAAAGCGCACGUAGGCGGAUCGAUCAGUCAGGGGUGAAAUCCCAGAGCUCAACUCUGGAACUGCCUUUGAUACUGUCGGUCUAGAGUAUGGAAGAGGUGAGUGGAAUUCCGAGUGUAGAGAUGAAAUUCGUAGAUAUUCGGAGGAACACCAGUGGCGAAGGCGGCUCACUGGUCCAUUACUGACGCUGAGGUGCGAAAGCGUGGGGAGCAAACAGG